rnacentral:rRNA from 1 species
UAAUGCCGGAUGCUCCAGUUGAUCGCAUGGUCUUCUGGGAAAGCCUUUGCGGCAUGGGAUGGGGUCGCGUCCUAUCAGCUUGAUGGCGGGGUAACGGCCCACCAUGGCUUCGACGGGUAGCCGGCCUGAGAGGGCGACCGGCCACAUUGGGACUGAGAUACGGCCCAGACUCCUACGGGAGGCAGCAGUGGGGAAUAUUGCACAAUGGGCGCAAGCCUGAUGCAGCGACGCCGCGUGAGGGAUGGAGGCCUUCGGGUUGUAAACCUCUUUUGUUAGGGAGCAAGGCAUUUUGUGUUGAGUGUACCUUUCGAAUAAGCACCGGCUAACUACGUGCCAGCAGCCGCGGUAAUACGUAGGGUGCAAGCGUUAUCCGGAAUUAUUGGGCGUAAAGGGCUCGUAGGCGGUUCGUCGCGUCCGGUGUGAAAGUCCAUCGCUUAACGGUGGAUCCGCGCCGGGUACGGGCGGGCUUGAGUGCGGUAGGGGAGACUGGAAUUCCCGGUGUAACGGUGGAAUGUGUAGAUAUCGGGAA